rnacentral:rRNA from 1 species
CAGCAGCCGCGGUAAAACCAGCACCUCGAGUGGUCAGGAGGUUUAUUGGGCCUAAAGCAUCCGUAGCCGGUUGCAUAAGUUUUCGGUUAAAUCUAUGCGCUUAACGUAUAGGCCGCCGAAAAUACUGUGCAGCUAGGGGGUGGGAGAGGUACACGGUACUCGAUAGGAAGGGGUAAAAUCCUUUGAUCUAUUGAUGACCACCUGUGGCGAAGGCGGUGUACCAGAACACGUUCGACGGUGAGGGAUGAAAGCUGGGGGAGCAAACCGGAUUAGAUACCCCGGUAGUCCCUGUCUCUUAUAC